GACGAACGCUGGCGGCGUGCUUAACACAUGCAAGUCGAACGGAAAGGCCUCUACGGAGGUACUCGAGUGGCGAACGGGUGAGUAACACGUGGGCAAUCUGCCCUGCACUUCGGGAUAAGCCUGGGAAACUGGGUCUAAUACCGGAUAGGACCUCAAGACGCAUGUCUUCUGGUGGAAAGCUUUUGCGGUGUGGGAUGGGCCCGCGGCCUAUCAGCUUGUUGGUGGGGUGACGGCCUACCAAGGCGACGACGGGUAGCCGGCCUGAGAGGGUGUCCGGCCACACUGGGACUGAGAUACGGCCCAGACUCCUACGGGAGGCAGCAGUGGGGAAUAUUGCACAAUGGGCGCAAGCCUGAUGCAGCGACGCCGCGUGGGGGAUGACGGCCUUCGGGUUGUAAACCUCUUUCACCAUCGACGAAGGUCCGGGUUUUCUCGGAUUGACGGUAGGUGGAGAAGAAGCACCGGCCAACUACGUGCCAGCAGCCGCGGUAAUACGUAGGGUGCGAGCGUUGUCCGGAAUUACUGGGCGUAAAGAGCUCGUAGGUGGUUUGUCGCGUUGUUCGUGAAAUCUCGCGACUUAACUGUGAGCGUGCGGGCGAUACGGGCAGACUAGAGUACUGCAGGGGAGACUGGAAUUCCUGGUGUAGCGGUGGAAUGCGCAGAUAUCAGGAGGAACACCGGUGGCGAAGGCGGGUCUCUGGGCAGUAACUGACGCUGAGGAGCGAAAGCGUGGGGAGCGAACAGGAUUAGAUACCCUGGUAGUCCACGCCGUAAACGGUGGGUACUAGGUGUGGGUUUCCUUCCUUGGGAUCCGUGCCGUAGCUAACGCAUUAAGUACCCCGCCUGGGGAGUACGGCCGCAAGGCUAAAACUCAAAGGAAUUGACGGGGGCCCGCACAAGCGGCGGAGCAUGUGGAUUAAUUCGAUGCAACGCGAGGAACCUUACCCGGGUUUGACAUGCACAGGACGCGUCUAGAGAUAGGCGUUCCCUUGUGGCCUGUGUGCAGGUGGUGCAUGGCUGUCGUCAGCUCGUGUCGUGAGAUGUUGGGUUAAGUCCCGCAACGAGCGCAACCCUUGUCUCAUGUUGCCAGCGGGUAAUGCCGGGGACUCGUGAGAGACUGCCGGGGUCAACUCGGAGGAAGGUGGGGAUGACGUCAAGUCAUCAUGCCCCUUAUGUCCAGGGCUUCACACAUGCUACAAUGGCCGGUACAAAGGGCUGCGAUGCCGUAAGGUUAAGCGAAUCCUUUUAAAGCCGGUCUCAGUUCGGAUUGGGGUCUGCAACUCGACCCCAUGAAGUCGGAGUCGCUAGUAAUCGCAGAUCAGCAACGCUGCGGUGAAUACGUUCCCGGGCCU
rnacentral:rRNA from 1 species